rnacentral:lncRNA from 13 species
CUCUGACACCUGCUGUGCAGCCAGAAGCAGUGUGCAGGAUGCAGGCAGUUUGCCUCCCACACCGUGACAGGCAAGAAUGUUUCUGUAAUAUUUAUGAGAACAUAGGAGUUGUUAAGAGAAGAAUCUUUGCCUCCUACAGAAGGGACAUAAGAAAAGCUCGGAAGAAAGGUUGAGCCCACAGUUUACAAAGGUUUCAAACAUCUAGGUGAUUAUCAUCAUACGGGUCACUGCUGGACAUAGAACUUUGGAAUGGGAAGAAACUUCCAGAGCUCUGUCCUCUUCCAGAUGAUCAGAAUACAGCGAGAAACAGGCCCGAGACUGAACCCCUGGUGUUCGGCGUCACUGGCAGUCAGCGUUCACUUCUCUCCAAAAGGCACAAUGCCUCCCUUAUGAAGAAGCCAAAGAAACAGUCAUCCACAAGUCACUUGGAAGUGUCCACUAUCACCUGGGUUAGGAUUUGAAUUCUUCUAAUAGGGUUUACAAAGAGCAGAUUUAUCCAGGGGAUUUGGCUUCUUAAUUUGGUUCAGGAACCACUUUGAGAAUCUUAUAAAACAUUUUAGAUCCUCUCCGAGAAAUUGCACAUACAAGCAAAUAUUACUGUUUGCAAUAAGCCUCUUACUCCAAGUUAAGACCUUAUGGCCUAGAUAUUGAAAGGCUUUAUGUUUUAAUGGAAGCUUUGACACUAGCAGCAAUAAAUAGAGGAUUGUUGCCUAAAGAAAGCCA